GUUGGGGAUCUUGGGCAAAGGAGGUGAGACAGGAUAUGAAAACAAUGGACUCAUUGUAGAAAGAUGAUAGAGGGAUGAGAAGGAGAUCAGUGGAACACAGCACCAUCUACAGGCUGAUACAGCACACCAUCAGAUGAUCACAAGGAGAUGGCCAGAAUUGGGUGACCGUUUUGCAGCCCCACCACCUUUCCUGUGCCAAAAAUGCCAACUGUAACAACAAAGAGUGGCAGAUGCCAAGGGAAUGUCAGACGAAUGACCUCCGUGAAGUCGGCCUACCAAAGAAAAGCAAAUAUUUACCCUGCGUGUUUGAACCCAUGGCACAGUGCCACGGCUGCCCCUCGGAGCACAUACUGGGCCGAUAGGCUUACUCGUCCUCCAACUUUACUCGCUGGGACCCCUGGGUACACCCUGAUGCCAAAUAAAGUCUCCUUAAUUUUCGACCAUAACAUCAUAGAGUGGAACAUGUCAGUAAGAGGUCCAGCACAUCCCAGAGCUCAGCCGCCCUGAGACCAAUGUCUCCUUAUGGAACACUGACUUCAAAGUCCAUUUUGGAAGGAAUGAUCUGAAGAAUGCGAACUGGUCUCUGAUAACCAGCAGAGCAGUCGGGAUCAUUGGAGAAGCCACCAAAUGAGAUCUCCUGGGCAUCAAACACACAAAAUACAUAAAACAUGUGCAUAUCAUAUUAAUGUGCCAUUCUAUUCUGCUGGUUGGAAUAUGCUCUUGACUGUGCAUGAUUUACCCUGUCAUCAGUGAAUAAUUUUAUAUGGAAAACAUAUAUUGGGUCUAGCUUUGCUCGACUCUUUGACUCAGACUCCCCUCUUGGAAAGGUUUGCAGGUCAUAACAGGAUGCAAAACUGCACAUCUGACCCACUUGUGUACUCCAUGGCCCUAUAACCCAUCCUCCUCCAUCAGAUUAGCAUGCCCACUCCAAGAAAUGAGCUCUCAAAUCAGCAUGCAAUCCAUCAGGAGAACAACAACAACUGCAAUGUGGUACAGACCAUAACCUGGGACAAGAAAAUGACUUGAUGCUACGUGUCAGCCAAUGUGUACAAUUUCAAAAAUAACAAUUUCAUCUGAAAAAAGUGGUCAGAAUAGGUGUGGCACAAACUGAGAAACUCUAUUAAACUUGAACAUGUCUGUCUGCAUUAGGAUAUUUUUCCUUUAAUCUGACUCCCACCGUGCUGGAUUGUAAUCCCUGUGUCCUGUAGGAGCAAUCGUCAACAUGAUGGGGAGGGGGAGGUUAAGAGAAAAAAAUGAAGAUGUGAACAAUGCGUUAAGCUCUGUCAAAAAAAAAAAAAAAAAAUUGUGGUGGGGGGAUAUGGAAUCAGUCACUAUAGCUACCGACUUUAUGGCUCUACUAAGCUUGUUUUAUUAGCUAUACAGGAGCUAUACAGGUGUGGUUUUUGUUGUCGUUGUUUUUUUUUUUAAGAACUGCAAUUUUAAAAAUGAUUCAGUGGUAAACAAAAAGUAACUUUUUUCCUGAAAUAUUCCACAUUGAGCUCCAUGUCGAAGAUGCGUGACUCCAGGAGUUGGCAUGCGGCAGCAGUUCCAGCCUGCUCAGCCCACGCCAUCUCUAAAGACCCUUAAACCAAAGCAAACGUUUCAACGACAUUUCCAACCAUUUUUACUCUAAAAAUGUGAUGAGAGCAGGUUAAAGCUGUAAGCCAUCAAAGUCUGCCGAGCAGCGUGCCCUGUUUGAAACUCAUCUGGAUCCCCCGUAAACACUCAGCUGCUAAAUGGCUGCACAUGUGGCACUGAGUGCAUUUUAGCAUGCGCUAGUGUGUGUGUGCCACAGCGUGUUAGAAUGUGCAUGCGUGUGCUGGCAUACAACAUGGCUUAUCAGUCUGAUCAAAGACAGCCUUUCCUUAAACUGUCUGCAAUAUGAAAGGCACACAAAGGCAGGAAUAGCUUCAUGGUAAAUAUCUGAUCCGGAGAGUAAUUGGUACCUGUCUCAGGGAUCUGGCUCUUUGAUCGACGUAUCCGUUGUUUAAAUGUGGAAAUAUAUUUAUUGGUGGCUCCCCCACAUCCCCCACAUCAUCACCCAUAUGGGCAGGGUGCUAAAAGAUGCUCGCCACCAAACAUGUUCUCUGAGCUCACAAAACUCACAAAGAUACCUGAGAAGAAAUGUCAUACAAUUAAAUUAUUAAUACGGAAAAGUGUUAAAGGUUACAUUUUUUAUCAUUAUAACAGGUCUUUAAGAAGCACAUCAUUUAAAAAAAUAUAAAGACAAAAAUUACUUGCUUCAGAUGACUCCUUUUUAUAGAUAAUCUAUUGUUGCACGGGAAUAUAUUGCUACUAGUGUUGUCAAUAAAAAAGAAUGAAUUUGAAAAAUUAUUGCAUUAUUUGCAUGUAAUUAAUUGAAGAAGGGGUAAGUGUUGGCAGAUUUUUUUUGUAUAAACAAAGCAACAUUCAUGAUGCAUAUUUGAGUUGCAUGAAUGCCGAUAGCUGG